AUGUUACAUAUUUCAGCUGCGUCUUUAUUGCUCUUUGAGAUGGGUCUUCUCAGAGUUAUGUUUUCAACAGCAAGUACACAGACUCAUCCAGGACAGAGAGUCACUAUGUGGUGUUCACACAAUAUCCAUGUUUCUGGAUAUCUGUACUGGUUCAAACAAUCAGACGAUGCUGCACCCGUUACUAUUGUGUACAUGUUAUACACCGAAAGUCUUCAGAAGGUUGAGCCAAAUUAUUUCAACAAUUUCACAAAAGAUCACCUGGUCAUGGAUCUGUUCAACAAAGUCACCACCCUAACAAUUACGCAAGUGAAAAUGUCUGAUUCUGGAUUCUACUUUUGUGGAGCUACAGGUCAUGAUGUGAAAUUCGGCAAUGGAACCAGACUUGAAGUAAAAGUCGCUGAAUGUCAAUCACAACAGCAGGAUGACAAGGAAAAUGAUUCAGUAGAAUAUGCUGCCGUUUAUUUCUCAAACCAAAGACCCAAAAGAGCAGGACGACAUACAGAGGACCCAAUUUCUGUGUACACUGAUACUACUUGAAAAAUAAAACAAACUCAAACAUAUUAUUAAUUUAUUACCUAUGGUUUA